rnacentral:lncRNA from 1 species
GUCCAUUUCAAUUUCGAUUCCAAUCUGCUUAAAUCUUCCUCAACCAAUUGCCCUAAGAAUGUCGCCAGUAGAUUUAUUCUUCGCCGCUCUCGCCCCCUUUUCUCAGGUUUAAUCUUAUGCAUGCAUUUUUAUGUAAAAUAAUACUGGAUGUUGUUGCUUUUGAUUUUACCCCUUUUCUGGGAAAAAUUUCAGCUGGAUGUGGUUGUGGUAGAAAGUACUACCAUUCAACACCAGCGAUCUCACAAGGUCUACUGAGCAGCAGGGCCCCAAGAAGAACACUUGGUGCGAAUAAAUAUUCGACAGUUACUUGUGCAAGGAAGGCCGAGCA